CUGUGCGCUUGGUGUUGGGGGUCCUUCGUGGGCACCCAGUGCCGGAGAGAAGUUGUUAAGCGCACCGCCUGGGGAGUACGGUCGCAGGACUGAAACUUAAAGGAAUUGGCGGGGGAGCACAGCAACGGGAGGAGCGUGCGGUUUAAUUGGAUUCAACGCCGGAAAACUCACCAGGGGCGACUGCCACAUGAAGGUCAAGCUGAUGACUUUACCCGAUUGGUAGAGAGGUGGUGCAUGGCCGUCGUCAGUUCGUACCGUAGGGCGUUCUGUUAAGUCAGAUAACGAACGAGACCCUUGCCCAUAAUUGCCAUGUUUCCCUCCGGGGGAACGGGACUUUAUGGGGACCGCUGGUGCAAAACCAGAGGAAGGGAAGGGCAACGGUAGGUCAGUAUGCCCCGAAUCCCCUGGGCGACACGCGCGCUACAAAGGCCGGGACAAAGAGUUCCGACCCCGAGAGGGGAAGGUAAUCUUGAAACCCGUCCGUAGUUCGGAUCGAGGGCUGCAACCCGCCCUCGUGAAGCUGGAUUCCGUAGUAAUCGCAGAUCAACAUCCUGCGGUGAAUAUGCCCCUGCUCCUUGCACACACCGCCCGUCAAACCAUCCGAGUGGAGUUUCGAUGAGGGUGGGAUUUUUGUCCUUCUCGAAUCGCGAUUUCGCAAGGAGGGUUAAGUCGUAACAAGGUAGCC
rnacentral:rRNA from 1 species